GUCUGUGUUAAGUGGAAAAGGAUGUGGGAUCUCUAAGACAACCAGGAUGUUGGCUCAGAAGCAGCCAUUCAUUAAAAGAGUGCGUAACAGCUCACUGGUCGAGAGGUCCUGCGCCGAAAAUGUCCGGGGCUGAAACACCACACCGAAGCCGCGGAACUCGUAAGAGUUGGUAGAGGAGCAUUCUUAGGGGAGGGAAGCAUUACCGUAAGGGGAUGUGGACUGCUAAGAAGAGAGAAUGCCGGAAUGAGUAGCGAGAGCAAGGUGGGAAUCCUUGCGGCCGAAUAUCCAAGGUUUCCAGAGUAAAGCUGAUCUGCUCUGGGUAAGUCGGGGCCUAAGGAGAGGCAGAGAUGCGUAUCCGAUGGACAGCAGGUAAAAGAUUCCUGCACCCCUUGUUAUCAGAACUGCGGGGACACGGGAAGGGAAGCAGAGCCGGGAAUGGAAAGCCCGGUGCAAGCGAAGUAGUCGCAGGAUUGGAAAAUCCGUCCUGCAUGAGACGAAGGCGUGAUGCGGAGCGAAACAAAGUAGCGAAGCUGCGGCCCCUUUCUGUCGAGAAAAGCCGCUAUCGUGUAGCAAGGGCCCGUACCGUAAACCGACACAGGUGGAUGAGGAGAGGAUCCUAAGGCCGGCGGGAGAAGUGUUGUUAAGGAACUCGGCAAAAUGACUCCGUAACUUCGGGAGAAGGAGUGCUGCGCAAGCAGCCGCAGAGAAAUGGCCCAAGCAACUGUUUAGCAAAAACACAGGUCUAUGCGAAACCGGAAGGUGAGGUAUAUGGGCUGACGCCUGCCCGGUGCUGGAAGGUUAAGGGGAGAGCUUAGCGCAAGCGAAGGUUUGAACUUAAGCCCCAGUAAACGGCGGCCGUAACUAUAACGGUCCUAAGGUAGCGAAAUUCCUUGUCGGGUAAGUUCCGACCCGCACGAAAGGCGUAAUGAUUUGAGCGCUGUCUCGACAAUGCAUCCGGUGAAAUUGAAGUACCAGUGAAGAUGCUGGUUACCCGCGCCAGGACGGAAAGACCCCAUGGAGCUUUACUCCAGCCUGAUACUGGGAUUCGGUAUUGCAUGUACAGGAUAGGUGGGAGGCUAAGAACUUAUGGCGCCAGCCGUAAGGGAGCCAUUGUUGGGAUACCACCCCUGCAGUACUGGGCUUCUAACCUGCGCCCGUGACCCGGGCGGGGGACAAUGUCUACAGAC
rnacentral:rRNA from 1 species